AUUAUAAAAGUGUUUACAGUUAACUCUCUCAACACUUGCAACAAAAAAUGCAAAAAUAAAAUGAGAGUUUACAUUGUGAAACAUGCUACGAAGCACUAAUCUAAUAUUUUUAUGAUUGCAAGAAAGGGGAUUGAUUACAACUAAUUUCUACGAGGUUAUUCAUUGCUUUGUAGGAUGGCAUGUUUUGGCCAUAUAAACUCAUGAACAUGCUGGUGUAUGAUUGUUCAUGCCAAACAGCUCAUCACAAAAGAAGCGUUUCUGUUGUUGAUGUUAAAGGCACUUUUUGUACUGUUGAGGUACACUUUUGCUCAUGCUCUCCAGAGUUUGUUCAAGUUCUGCAAUUUGGUCUUUGGGGUGGAACACCUACAAAACCAAGAAUUGCAUUUGCAAUUGAGUUUUUUGAAUUGAUUCAUUCUGUGCAGAUGGAAUGCCAGGCAUCAAUAAAAA